UACGUAGGGGGCAAGCGUUGUUCGGAUUCAUUGGGCGUAAAGGGUGCGUAGGCGGCGCGGUAAGUCGGGUGUGAAAUCUCGGAGCUUAACUCCGAAACUGCAUUCGAUACUGCCGUGCUUGAGGACUGGAGAGGAGACUGGAAUUUACGGUGUAGCGGUGAAAUGCGUAGAUAUCAGGAGGAAUACCGGUGGCGAAAGCGACUCUCUGGACGGCAACUGACGCUGAGGCACGAAAGCGUGGGGAGCAAACAGG
rnacentral:rRNA from 1 species